GCAGGGAUAGCUCAAUUGGUAGAGCACCGGACCGAUAAUCCGGCGGUUGAUGGUUCAAGCCUAUCUCCCUGCACCA
rnacentral:tRNA from 1 species